CGCGGCUUCGCGUCCCGCCUCUCGCCUGGCUGGCCGUGGGGGGCCUGGACGCAGUGGCCUCCCGAAUCUCCCAGGACCCUAAUAUCGCCCGAGGAUGCUGGGAGGAACGCUGAGCCGACCUCUCCGUUAGGCUGAAGAUUGCACAAACCAUGCUAAUGGCCAGCAUGGAUGGAGGGAGCGUGUGAGAUGUGUGGGGCAGCGUGCUGCAUCUCAGCCAACUCCAGGAGGACAUUUUUAAAUUCU
rnacentral:lncRNA from 1 species